UCUAGGACCUUCUUGCUGUGAGGUGACAGUGCUAAACACUGAUCCACUAUGCAAUCCAUUACAAUUAAAUCAUACUUUAUAAAAGUCAAACAGCUUAACUAGAGUGUACAGUACUUUAUAUGAGUUAUUCACCUGAAAUAAUGUAUUAUAUUAUUUUCUUUUCGCCCUAGGUGCAGAGAGUGUCUUCCUGAUGAGUGGUUCUGUGGGGACUGUGAUGUAUUGCAUCACAAAAAACAGCCACUCCACAACAGGGAAUGUGUGAUUCGUGGUUUUUUUGAAGCCAUUCCUCCGACCACAUGCAUCAUUAAAGGGGAAGAUGGAUAUUGCACCCAUGAGCAAGCUUGCAUUUUGCCAACUGUAAAGGUUCCAGACUGCUCCUGUGGAGGCACAAAUUUCACCAUGUUACCAGGCAAACCAGUGAUUUUAAUUACCAUCAAUGGGCGCUUUGACUUGCAUCAGCCACUGUAUGAAUGUCAAACAUGCAAGCAGCAGUGGACCCCUGACAUGAAGGACCUCCUCAGAAGUGGAUAUUGGCCAGCCUCCAUCACCAAUUCCACACUUUAUACAUUGGACCUCCUGAGCUCCUUUAAGGAACUCAAGAUCAUUUCUCCAGGAUUCUCCAGACAAGCCUUUGCAAAACUGCUGGAACAUCGCACUAAGUGUGGAGGAAGAUCUGGACCUAUCAAUGGCGAUGCCCUGC